CCCUUAGAUGUUCUGGGCCGCACGCGCGCUACACUGAUGCAUUAAACGAGUCUAAAACCUGGUCUGAUAGGGCUGGGUAAUCUUUUGAAUGUGCAUCGUGAUUGGGAUAGAUGAUUGCAAUUCUUCAUCUUCAACGAGGAAUGCCUAGUAAACGCAAGUCAUCAGCUUGCAUUGAUUACGUCCCUGCCCUUUGUACACACCGCCCGUCGCUCCUACCGAUUGAAUGUUCCGAUGAAUACCAUGGACUGAGAGUAUGAAUGGGUUCGCCUAUUUCUGCUUCUCGGGAAGUGGAGUAAAUCUUAACAUUUAGAGGAAGGAGAAGUCGUAACA
rnacentral:rRNA from 1 species